rnacentral:lncRNA from 1 species
CAAAUAUUGAAGAAUCUCUAACCAGGCUCGAAACGCCGGUCUCAGUGGCUAUUGAGUUACCCACCAAGUUACCCCGGUUAGAGCUGUUUGGGGUGGCUCACGUUAUUGCGGCAAACUUUGGAGAUGACGGCUGAGUCCUCCGGGCGAACAUGUCAAGCCGAUUGUAAAUGCUGUUAUUUCCACAUCCUUCAGGGACACCAGUCCCUACGAAGACCUUGGGCGAUUUUGAAGUGCGGGCACCUCGAUUCCCCGAAUCUGUAGUGUGGCUGGUAUCGGUGUUCCCCUGGUUUAACUAGCCUGUUUGAAGGCACAGAUCAUUCAUGGGGAUGUAUAACCGAAACCAGUCCUCUCCACCGCCUGGGGAUCUUCACUUUCGCAGUCUACGACUGCCUGUGACUCCAGAAAGACAAACUGCAGAUUGGCCAAGAUGGGGAAAUUGAGGCAGAGAAGCCAAGACAUGUGCUAAAGGUCAUGCAGGCUAUGAAUGGAGCUGGAAUGUGAACGCAGGCCAUAUGACCCCAGAGCCCAUGUUCUUGAACCCUUAGAAAGACAGCAGCAACACACCUGGUGCAGCAGCUGCUUAGUUGGAGUGGCUGACAAGGUUGGCAGAGGAUCCCGUUCCUCCCGUGGAGUGGCUGCCAUGAUACUGCCUGCACUGAAGCUGCUCCUAUUUCUGAAAUAUGUAUUGUUAUUUUUUUCCCUGCAUGUUGAACAUUAUACUCUUCUGUUCUUUCGCAUUCUCUUCUUCCCUUCCGGAUGACUUCUAGGGUUUUUGUGAUUCUGUAAUUCUAAAGGAGAAAGGAUAAUAAGAAUUGUGAGGCCGGGCGCGGUGGCUCAUGCCUGUAAUCACAGCACUUUGGGAGGCCAAGGUGGGCGGAUCACUAGGUGAGGA